rnacentral:rRNA from 1 species
CCUACGGGGGGCAGCAGUGAGGAAUAUUGGUCAAUGGACGCAAGUCUGAACCAGCCAUGCCGCGUGCAGGAAGACGGCUCUAUGAGUUGUAAACUGCUUUUGUACGAGGGUAAACGCAGAUACGCGUAUCUGUCUGAAAGUAUCGUACGAAUAAGGAUCGGCUCACUCCGUGCCAGCAGCCGCGGUAAUACGGAGGAUUCACGCGUUAUCCGGAUUUAUUGGGUUUACAGGGUGCGUAGGCGGUCGGAGAAGGUAGAGGUGCAAUCCCGAGGCUCAACUUCGGAAUUGCCUCUGAUACUGUUCGGCUAGCGAGUCGUUGCGGUAGGCGUACUGUCUGGUGUAGCGGUUACAUGCU